rnacentral:tRNA from 1 species
GCCCCUGUAGCUCAGAGGAUAGAGCACUGGCCUCCGAAGCCAGGUGCGUGGGUUCGAGUCCCGCCAGGGGCACCA